rnacentral:rRNA from 1 species
GAUGAACGCUGGCGGCGUGCCUAACACAUGCAAGUCGAGCGAACGGACGAGAAGCUUGCUUCUCUGAUGUUAGCGGCGGGCGGGUGAGUAACAUGUGGAUCACCUACCUUUAAGACUGGGAUAACUUAGGGACACCGGAGCUAAUACCGAAUGAUAUUUUGAACGGCAUGGUUCAAAAGUGAAAGACGGUCUUGCUGUUACUUCUAGAUGGCUCCGCGCUGGAUUAGCUGGUUGGUAAGGUAACGGCUUACCAAGGCAACGAUGCAUAGCCGACCUGAGAGGGUGAUGGGCGACACUGGAAGUGAGACGCGGUCCAGACACUGACGGGAGGCAGAGGUAGGGAAUCGUGCGAGAUGGGCGGAAGCCUGACCGAGCAGCGCCGCCUGAGCGAAGAAGGUCUUCGGAUCGGAAAACUCUGUUAGUGGGGAAGAACAUAUGUGUAAGUAGCUGUGCACGUCGUGACGGUACCUAAACAAAAAGCAACGGCUAACUACGUG